AAAGCCUCAUCAAUUGAAGUUCCACAAAAAAAGAAUGGUCCAAACUCAUGCAAAAUCAAGGUUGCAAUAACAUGAAAGCCACUACUAAAAGUAAUUAAUGGUAUCUAUGGAAACUUCAAAUAACAGCCUUUUAGCUACCAACUACCUAGCCAGCAAUUCAUAAUUUCAAACACAUGUAUAGUUUGUAUAUAUAUAAAGCAUAGGAGGAAGCCUGGAAAUUACUGUCUAUCUUGAUUAGGGUAAACUUGGAACAAAAGUCAGAAUGCUAUUUAUUCUUACCAUUCAAAGCAUGUUUGGGACACUAUUUCACUGUAAUUGUUUGCUUUCUAACCCGUGCAGGCAGUACAAUGCCUUCACCCAUCGUCUACUAUUGGGCUUUUGCCUGCCCCACUUGAACUGAUUAGAAGAACAGCCAUAGUUCUGCAUGCUAGGGUUAAAUUUAAGCCCAUUAAGAAUUGCCAUAUCAGGAGGCCUCAAGGAUAAGAAAUAUGUACACCUGUGCAGGACAAUUAAGCACUUUAGUUGAUUUUGUAUCUUUGAUCAUUGUUCCAAGAUGAUUAUUCUUACACCGCCAUUGUAAUUAAAAAAACUCCAUCACGUGUAGAAUUACCACUACAAGUUGGUUUUGUACAUUUGAUCAUUAUUGCCAUUCACAGUGGACAAAUAAUACUAUGGUAAAAAACUUUUUCAAUCCCUUUCAAUUUCAAAAUUCAACAAAUUGAUCUCUUUCAAAAAAUUAAAAGUAAUUUAACCUAGAGAUGAUCAUGGGCCGGGCUAGGCCUAAAAAAUUUCGGCCCUCAUCCUAGGCUCGGACCCGGCCUAGCUCGAAAUAUGAGCCUAAAAUUUUGUCUAUGCCCGGCCCAGGAAAAAAAUCUUAAGCCCAAGUCUGGCCCGGCCGGGCCCAUUUUUUUAAUAAACACCAAAAAUUUAUUUUAAAAAUAAAAAAAGUAUUUUAAAAAUAUUUUAAAAUUAAAAAAAAUAAAAAUAUAUAUUAUAUAUUCGGGCCAGGCCGGGCCGAGCCCAGGACUAAAAAAGUGAUGCCCGAGGCCCGGCCGUUAUCUAAACGGACCUCUUUUUUUGCCUAAACCCAUAUUUCGGGCCUAUAAUUUUACCCGAAUCCUCCCAUAUUUCAAGCAGGCCGUCGGGCCGGCCAGGCCACCCGGCCCAUGAUCACCUCUAAUUUAACCUCUGUCAAUGUCAAUUUUAAAAGUGAACAACUAAGAACAAUUAAUCAUAAUGAUAAUAUUAAUGUUUUUCAUCAAUUGUACAUUAUUUUAAUUGGUAUAAUAAUAAAUUUACUCUUCAAAGUUCACACAUUCUAUUAAUUAGGUCCUAAUUUAACAAAUUAAUCCACAAAAUUUGUGUAAAUGUUGAGACUAAAUUUGUUAAAAAUUUUUAGAAUUAAGGCCAAAAUAACAAAAUAUGUAAACAUUAAAGGCUAAAUAAUACCAAUCAAAAUCAUGUAAAAUUGACAAAUGACAUUAACUCUAUGAUUAAUUGUCCUCAGUUGCUCACUUUCGAAGUUAACAGAGAUUAACUUGAUCCAAUUUUUUCGAAAGGGGCUAAUUUGCUGAAUUUCGAAAUUGAAAACGACUUUUACCUAUUUAUUGUAAAAAGAAAGCCUAAUCUUAUGUUUGAUACUUACUAAACUUCCACAUCUUACUUUAAAAACUGAAAACCAACUUUUAUCGUGUAAGGGAUGUAGCUUAAAGUAAAGCCUAAAGAGAAGAUGAAGAUCUUUGAAAAGCAUUGGAUAUACCUUCAAGAGCAGAGCAUCAUCCGACCAAGCUAACCUUCGCUCACAGGGUAGAGAAUGGCAAAACAACUAAGCUAUCUUUGAAUAAGUAGCUCGCUCUAAAUGAGCUAGUCAUGGAGACUCAAUUAACCUAGCUUAAAAGAAUAUCAUAUAUAAACCUUUAGACUUGCACAUUUCUUAGCAAUGUAGAAUUACUCAACAUUGCAAACUACUAACGACAAAGUCAGUUCUCAAAAGCAGCCAAAGUUGGUUUAAGGUUUCCAAAUGUAUGACAUGAGCAUUAUGGCAAAAGGUGCAAACAAGAGAAUGGAAAAGGGAUGCCAGUAAAGAAAUCUAGACAGCAACCUUGUCCAAGGUUAAAGGUUCAUUUGUGGAUUUGAAUGUGUUUCUGAUAAGCAACAACCUACAAAAACCCUUCAAAACUAACCUUAGCUCUACCAAACAACUUUCAACAGACGAUAAAAACUUCCCUAAGUGCAUAAAAGAGAUCAUGCCUAAAAUCUUACCAUGCUCCAUUAAUAUUUGACUCUUUUCCCAACCAAAGGAUCUUAUCUAUGAACAACCAAAGUUAUCAUUUGAGUCACCAAAGCAUGUGUUCACACCUUUUUUUUUUUUUUUUAAAAAGGUUAUUGCCAUUUUCUGAUUUUGCAGUUUUAGGAAAUCAAAUUCCACCAGCAUAUAUCCAGUUAAACUGGAUAGACAGAUCGAAAAUUUCACGAACAUGCAGAUUCGGAUUGCAACAAAUGUUUCAAAUGUCAAAUCUAAAGAAAAUAAGAUUUAAUAUAAUCAUAAACUAUUUUAAACCUUUCGAUGCAAAACUCUUCUAAAAUCUGACCUCCAAAAUAAUAAUGAUCAUAAUCGGCUAAGCAACUUCCAUAACGGAUCUGGCCUGCUGCCUGUAAGCUCAAUUUAAGAUCAAGAGAAAUCACUUAUAGAGAAUAUGAGCAUUUAUUGAUAGACUACAAGAGGAACAAAAAGACUGCCAUCGAGUUAUCAAAGUUUGGCGACUCAGCUUUUCCUCGGUAUCCGUUUCUGACUCGUAGAUCCUCGAGCAGGACUCACUCACGAUUGGACGGCGAAAGAUAAUCUUCAAUCUUGCCCAGGCAGGGAGAGAAGUUGGCUGGAAAUGAUGUGAUUGGUAUAGAGGGGAAUUUUGAGUUUUUCGCGCGUGGGAUUGAGCUGGCUAAGGAGAGGCACGGUUACAGAGACGGAGACAAGGUUGGUCGUAGCGCGUGUCUUUACGUCGAAGUAACUGUUUUUAAACUUGUUAAAUUCUGGCUUUAAUCCUUCUUCUAUACUUUAAUUUUUGUAUUUAAUUCCUAUAAUUUACUUUUAGGUCUAAAUAGUUAUAUUGAUGUGAUUUUUUAGUAAAAAUAUCGCGGAGAUUUUUGUAUUGGUAGUUGAAUUGCAUUUUACCCUCUCUAUUAAAAAAAAUGUAGAUUAAUUCUUAUAUGUUAGAUCAAAUAUGUAACACCCCUUACCCGAGACCGUUGCCGGAAUCGAGUACGAGGCAUUACUUAGCUUAUCUUACUAAUUCGGGGCAUAAAAAUUCGUUUUAAAAAUUAAUUUCACUGUUUACAGUAAUCUGUCCAAUCGCGCAGCAGUUACUAAAUUGAUUAUAACUCGAGUUACGGAACUCCAAAUUUAAUUUCGUAAAUUUUCCCUGAAACUAGACUCAUAUAUAUACUCACCAUAAAAUUUUUAGAAUUUUUGGUUCAGCAAAUUAGUACAGUUUAUUAGUUAAAUUCUCCCCUGUGUCACCCCAGACUGCCCUGACCUCUAGUCACUAAAAAUAAGUUUUCUCACUAUAGGAUUUUCAUAUGAAGUUCUUACUUGUUUCUAUAGAAAAUAGACUCAUUAAGGAAUCUAAGCAUGUAAAUUUCAACUCAUAACCAUUUUUGUACAAUUUGUAAUUAUUUUCUAAACUCAGAACAGGGGACUCCAAAAACAAUUCUGACCCUAUCUUACUAAAAUUCACAUAUCUUAAAAUAUAAAUUUCUUUUCUCUACACCGUUAUUUUUCCAUGAAAAUAGACUCAACAAGCUUUAAUUCCAUAUAUCAUUCACCCUCUAAUUCAUUUUAUACUAUCUUGGGUGAUUUUUCAAAUUCAAGUCACUAUUGCUGCCUGAAUUCUGUUUCUUUGCAAAAUUUUACCAUUUUAUGACUUUCAUACCUAAUUUAUCACUUAGACUUUUAUAACAAUAAUUAACUUCAUCCUUGACCAUUUAAACAACCAUUCAUCAUCAAAUACUUACACAUCAUUCUAUAGUAAAAUCAUAUUUACAAAUAUACAAAAUUACUAAAUUCCUAUACAUGCCAUAACUAAAAGAAAUGUUCACCACCACAAUUAGCUCAGAAUCGGCUUUGGAUGCUGAUUCAACAAUCCGACUUUGACCUAACCUGCGCACGGAAACAACCGUACGCUGAGUAUGGAAAUACUCAGUGGUAUUACCAUAAUUCGAAUUAAUAACAUUAAUCGAUAAAUUAUAUACAUUUUAUUUAUGUCUACAAUUAUUCAUUAAUUAUCUCAUGCAUUAAAUCAACUUGAUAAUUAAUAACAAUAAGCUAUAAUUCAAAUCUUGUAUUUAAUUGUAUUCAUACCUUAUUUCACUAUCUCAAUUCCAUUGGAUUUUUCUUUACAUCUCAUUCCAAUAGUUCAUUUCAAUUCAUAUACAAUUCAUUUCAUUUAAUUUAUAUUCAAUAUAAAUUUUAUUGCAAUUUGUACUCACUAAUAUCAUAUAACAAAAUUUACUCUUUAUCACAUCAUGAACUUUGGGCUCAUAUCUUUAAAUCUCUUAUUUCGAUUUCCAAUUCACACAUCAAUUCACAACUUCACUUUUUCGUUUCUUCCCAUAGCUCAAUCAAUCACAUUUAUUCAAUUUUCUCAUUUCAAUUAUUUACCCCUAUUAACAAGACUCGGACCUUGGCGGAUACACGGAUCCAAUCAAACACACCAAAAUGGCACCCAGUGCCUCAUCGGAUAGUUCGAAGCAAUAGUUGACACCCAGUGUCUCAUCGGCCCAGCCGAAGUAAAGUUGGUACCCAGUACCUCAUCGAAUCUAUCCGAAGAAAUAUAGUGACACCCAGUGUCUCAUCGACUCAAGGUCGAAGUAUCCCUGAACUCUUCCAAUCCUAUGGCAUGCCAACUAUAUCCGACUCAGCCCGACUAGUUAAUAGGGUUUCCGAAUCACAUUUCAAUUCAAUCACUUUCUCAUACUUUCAAUUCAAAUCAUUCCCAUUUAAUCACCAUUUGUUUCAAUACAUUUUUCUAUUUCAAAUUCACUUUCGAUUUAAUCGCAAUUCAACUCAGAUUCACUUCCCACUUUCAAAUCAAUAUACAAUUCAAUACCAAUACAUAUUUCAGAUAUUCACAUAUAAUCAUACUUCGAUUCAAUUCAAACCACUUUUCAAUCAAUACACAAUUCACAUAUUCACAUAUCUCAAUUUAAUAUCUCAUUUAUUCAAUUCAUAUUUUAAUUCAUUCAAUUAAAUAUUGAUAUUCUCCUUAUUUUUAUUUACUAACAUAUUAUUCAAAAUUCAAUAAUUACUGUCAAUAAAUUCAAUAUCAAUACGUAUAUAUAUUAUUCAAUUCAAUUAUGAAACUCACCUCAAUUUGCUUAUCGUGUAUAUUAAUUUAAUUUUCAACGAUUAAUAAUUAAAUUCGAAUUAUAGUAAUACUAACCGUAAUUUCUCUCGAGUCACUCCUUGUCCACUUUCUCCUUUCCUUUCUCGGACAAUGACUCGUACACGACAUUAGCUACGUAAUUAAACAAUUAAAAAUCAUUAAUACACAAUUUCAUUAAAAUAUUUCCUUUUAUACCUAAACUUUACCCAAAUUCUAAUUUAAUCCCUUACCAAUACUAAUUUUAUUUUUCCCAAUCUAACUCUAUAUUCUCUCUUAAUUCUUACUAAACUCAUAUUUAACUAUUUAAUUUUUAUCAUGUUUUCAUAAUUCCGAAUUUAUUUCAAAUUAAUCCCUAAAAUUCAAAACUUAUAGUUUAGUUUACAAUUCAAUUCCAAUCAAAAUUUCUAUCAAAUACAUCCCUAAUUUAACAAUUUAUUCAACAUGAACCAUGCUUAAUAAUCUACUAACUUUCAAAAUUUCAACUUAAAUCAAGUAGUAUUUUAUUCUAGGAUUUCAAAAAAAAUAUCAAAAUUAAGAGAAAAGGGGAUUAAAUUGACUUACCAAAUUACUUUGAACCUUAAAACCCCAAAUUUCCCUUUUUCUUUUCUUUUCUUUCUUUCUUUCCUUCCUUCCUUCUCUGUUUCGUUUUGCUCUCUGUUUCUUUCUUUCUCCCUUCUCUGUUUUGUUUUGCUCUCUGUUUCUUUUCUUUCUUUCUUUGUCAUAUAUAUAUAUAUAAUAUAAUAUAAUAUAAUAUAUUAAUAAUAAUCAUUACUUACAUAUAUAUAUAUAUAUAUUAACUAGAAUAUCUCAUAUAUUUCUUUCAUUAUGCCGCCUCAACUUUAGAAAAAGGCAUAAUUGCCUAUUUGGUCCUUUUAACUUUUCUUUAAUCUAUAAUUAAACUUUUAUCCCUAUUGCAAUUUAAUCCUUUUUCAUAAUUAACUAUCGAAACAUUAAAAUUUCUUAACGAAACUUUAAU
rnacentral:lncRNA from 1 species